UUUGAUUCUGGCUCAGAUUGAACGCUGGCGGCAUGGCUAACACAUGCAAGUCUAAACGGCAGCGCGGGGGCAACCCUGGCGGCGAGUGGCGGACGGGUGAGGAACACAUAGGAAUCUACCUCAACGUGGGGGAUAACGUAGGGAAACUUACGCUAAUACCGCAUACGACCGAGAGGGGAAAGCGGCGGACCGCAAGGCGUCGCGCGGUGAGAUGAGCCUAUGUCCGAUUAGCUAGUUGGCGGGGUAAGAGCCCACCAAGGCGACGAUCGGUAGCUGGUCUGAGAGGAUGAUCAGCCCCACUGGAACUGAGACACGGUCCAGACUCCCUACGGGAGGCAGCAGUGGGGAAUAUUGGACAAUGGGCGCAAGCCUGAUCCAGCAAUGCCCGCGUGGGUGAAGAAGGCCUUCGGGUUGUAAAGCCCUUUUGUACGGGAAGAAAUCCUGUCGGUUAAUACCCGGCGGGGAUGACGGUACCGUAAGAAUAAGCACCGGCUAACUUCGUGCCAGCAGCCGCGGUAAUACGAAGGGUGCAAGCGUUAAUCGGAAUUACUGGGCGUAAAGCGUGCGUAGGCGGUUCGUUAAGUCUGUCGUGAAAGCCCUGGGCUCAACCUGGGAAUGGCGAUGGAUACUGGCGAGCUAGAGUCAGGUAG
rnacentral:rRNA from 1 species